rnacentral:lncRNA from 1 species
UGGUUAUGUACUUGGCUUAGUUAGAUACGAUCUAUAUACAUGCUUAGGAUCGUAUAGCGUUUAUCCAUCGGAUCCAUGGGUAAAUGAUAGAUAUUGUGUAGGCGUGGUGCUUAUACCGUAUUUAUCUGCGAUUGUACCCAAUAUGCCAGGUCGUGGGGUGGUUCGUGAUAGUGACAGCUUCAUUGAUUCUUAUAUAGUCCCCCUCUCGUGUAUUGGGCUGGCAGAGCAACAUUAUUAAGAAAUUGGAGAGUCCCGUUCGGAGGACUUAAAAACACCGAACGCCUUGCGAAGAGGUAAACUUGGUAGUUACCCUUUCCCUUUCAGUUAUUUCAAAUAGUUUACUUAGUUAAUCAUAUUCACACUAUCUUAAAAAGAAAAUAAAAAUGUUAAAAACUAUAAGCCCCAUGUGAGUAGACGAGUGGCAUAAAACCCAUAAGUACAUUCACUAUGGUGGCAUAAAAAUAAAAUAAAUAUUUUUCUGCUUUAUAAAUCAAAAAUAUAAAAACAGGGAGUAACAUUUAUUAAGGAGUCUCAACAUAAUAAAGGCUAGAUAUUUAUGCUAACACUUAAUCAGUUCCACAAGCUUUGUUGUCUAUUUGAGCUCCACAGAAAUUUAAGAAUCAAGAAGACUGGCAGACGGAGGACAUUCUAAUCACUGUCAGAAUGCUGCUGACUUUCAAAUACACCUCUACCACCUGCUAGCUACACCAAGAGAAAUUACGUCAAAAUUUAGCUUGGGGGAGAGCACCCCCAUUUAUCACGAUAAGUAUUUCUAUCUAUCUUUAUACUUAUAUUAUUUUAGAAUAUUAAAAUACACAUAAACUAUGGGAAAACCAAAUAAAGAUUUUAUGCUUAUAUAUAUAUAUCUUUUGCUUAGUGUGUUUAAUAAAUAAAUAAAGUGGCUAUGCUAAAUCUGUAUCUAAAUAAAACUUAAGCAUGGAUAUGAUAAAUAGUUGCUCUGCCUAAUUUGCAAAUUUUAAGUUCUCUCUCAAGUUUAGAUAUAACUGUUAUAAUUUAAAGCUUGCUCUAGACCUAAACUUGUGGGAUGAAAACUUGAUCUGAAGUCUAAGUUGUUAACGGAUAUGAUAUGGGAAGGUUGAGCUGCUGUUUAUCUGUUCCUAGAGAUGCUAGAAUUCUGGAGAUUUUUAUCUUUGAAAAUCUUUAAAAUGUUGCAUGAUGAGUUCCUGUAUGAUGAGAGUUUAAAUUCCAACCACAGCCAUAUAUACAUGCUUGCUAGACUUUGAGCCACACAUUUAAUAUUUACUGCUUAUGAGCAUUGAGUGUGGUCAAGCUGUCUAGACCCUUAGGAGCUUGUCAUGUGGUUAAAUCAAGAUUUCACUUGCACGUUCACUCAUAUAUAUGCUACUUCUACUCCAGAAGUACCAUCCACAUAUAUCCAUCCAUUUCCAUCUCCAGAAUCACCUAAAAAUAUUCUACUCCUAAUUCGGGAGAGAAUAACCAAAAAUAUUUCUAUUUUCCCCUUGUGAAAUAAAUGCUCAAGUUAUCUUGUUACUACCACUUGCUAUAUUAUCUCAAGAGAUGAAUGCUCUUUAAAUAUAUAUAUAUAUAUAUAUAUAUAUAUAUAUAUAUAUAUAUAUAUAUAUAUAUAUAUAUAUAUAUAUACGAGGAAAUAAAAAGGAGCACGUGCUCGGAACCUCGAAAGAAAAGAAAAGUGAGACGAGAGGUAAAAAUGGACAAGUGUCCGACAGUAGAAUUAGGGGUGCAAAAUACCCACCUGAGAGACAAAAGAAAAAAAAAAGAAAGAAAAAGAAGAGCAUCUCAUUCUCCUCAUAAAGUUUCAAAAGCAAGGAAGGUAUGUAUCCCCUCGAAAGAGCAAAAGUAGAAUUAGACUUCCACUACCAUUGUUUUCACCAUUGUUAUCACCAUCAUCACCAUACACCAUUCAUUCGCCAGACAUGCACAUCUUGAUUUGGCUUAUUGAUUUGUUUCUUUGGAUCCAUGGUUUGACUAUGCAAUAAAUGUCUUGUAAGUAUGUAUACUUUAUCUCCCACCUAUGAGCUCCAGAUAUUAAAGCCUUAUUAGAGUAGGGUGAGAGAGAAGGCAAUGUCACUAUGCCUCAUACCACAAAUACUACAUAUCUUGAGAGAAGGCAUAUACCAUCAAUGUCUUGGUAAGGAUCCAAAAAUACCACAAAAGAGAGACCUGAGAGAAUCAUACAAGGAAUUUCUGAGUUUUAUUUGAAAAUCUGCAAAAAACCCCAGAGCUAUAGCUGAUCAAGAAUAAGAGACAUGGCACUUGGCUAGACUGUUCUAUCUUUUAACCACUCAAGACAGAAGUGACAGUUACAAGUCCCAUGGUGAAGGUAAAGUAAGUAAGUUUUAAGUCUUAACAGUUUACUCUAACUCAGAGAUGAGAUCUUAUUUAAAAGCAUAUGUACCGUCAAAUUUUUUAAAGAUAUUGCAACAACUUAUGAUCCAUAGCUGAGUCUAUCCUUGCUCAGGGACGAGCAAGAGGUAAGCUUGGGGGAGUUUGUUGACGGUCCUUAAGUAUCAAAUUUAAUUAUCAAAUAAAUAAAGAAAAGGAUCCAAAUGAAAUCAAGAUCUAGACUUCGGGUUUUAUCUGACAGAAUUCCACGAGUUUUGGUGUUUGUCUAUUUCUGUAGGGGGUUAUCAGGAAAUAUGGAAGAAAGGCCCAUAUGUCGGGAUUACGUAAAGAUAUUAACGUGCUGCGCAAUUAUCUUACAUCUAGAUGACUCCAGAAGCCACGAGACCGAAGCGGAGGCGAAACGGGGCCAGAGGCAGGGCGCCCGCCCUGUCCUACUAGGCGCCCGCCCCCUGUUGGAGUCCAAACAGGACUCUGCUUUGCGGGAGAUCUCCACCGACCUAAAGGAUGAAUCUAAACCAUACAAUCUAUGUCGGUUUGAUCCAAGGGCCCAUAUUCACUUGGAGGGACUAUAAAACCAGACCCCCUGGCCCCUGGAGGAGAGAGCCUCUCAACCCUAAUUCAUUGUUCCAUCAAGGGAGAAGAAGCCUCUGAUCAAGAUUAGAGCCACCACAUCAAUUAGAUAUCUAGAUUAGCAUAGCUACAUAGGAUUAGAACUAGAAGGAGUCAAUCUUCGAUUGGUUUCCGGAUCUGUCAAGAGGAUUCUUGGUAAUUCCCUAAUUGUGCUUCUAAUUACUUUCUAAUUAUCUUUGUUCUUCAAUAUUAUGAAUAUAACUUUGUUCUACUUCAAUAUAUUGCUUAUGACUUUGCUCUACUUAUUUAUAUCCAAGAUUAUAUUGUUCUUAGUUUAUCAUGGUUAUGUACUUGGCUUAGUUAGAUGCGAUCUAUAUACACGCUUAGGAUCGUAUAGCGUUUAUCCAUCGGAUCCAUGGGUAAAUGAUAAAUAUUGUGUAGGCGUGGUGCUUAUACCGUAUUUAUCUGCGAUUGUACCCAAUAUGCCAGAUCGUGGGGUGGUUCGUGAUAGUGACAGCUUCAUUGAUUCUUAUAUUGUCCCCCUCUCGUGUAUUGGGCUGGCAGAACAACAUUAUUACAGGGGAGUGAUUGCUAUGUUUCUCAUAUUCCUUGCUAAUAUCACUAUGCAUGGGCGUAGUCUUGUCUCGCAAUGAUUGCUAGGUAUGCUUGCACUAACUAUGAUAAUGCUAGACUAUAUAGUUGAGAAUAACUUAGGGAAUAUUCUUGUAGUUCGUUCUAAUACCAUGCUAAUGACUUUCUAGAGUAUCUAAUUGAGGUGCUUAUCAUAUUUAUUAUGUGGCUAGAUCAGAUUAAUUAUCUUUGUCACUAUUAUUAUUUCAUAUAUCUUUUAUGUGACACUUAUCCCUGUAUGAAGAGUUAGAUAUAAUGUUCUCAAUUAUACAUGCAAUGAUAGAUGCUCAAUCUCAUAUUCUAUUCUGUAAUCAAUAUUGAUGAUUGCUAAUCCCUUCCCAGUGGUAAAAAUAUAAAUAACGAUACCUGGAAUACUUCCCGGUUAAAAUGCUACAUCGGUAUUAAUCUGUGCGCUUGCAGAUCCCAUUCAUUAUUUAUUUAGAAGAGCAAUUGCAUAUUUCAAUACCGCGUCUCUCAUGUCAUGCUGGGGAUGACAACUUGGCUUAAGUGGUGUGAGGGAUAGGUUUGGCAUUUUUGGCACCGUUGCUAGAUUUAGAACUUAGUCUACUUUUAGUAAUGAUGUUAAGAAUACCCAACAAGCAUAGAUCUUAUAUCGACUUUGAGCGAUCUUCAGGUUCUCUUUCACCUGAGCAACUCCUUCCUCAGCUUCUUUGAUCUUGGCAGGGCCAAAGAUUGCCCUCUCACCAGGGUGGUCCCACAUCAGCGGGGUUCUGCACUUUCGGCCAUACAGAGCUUCAAAAGGAGACAUCUUGAUGCUGGCCUGGUAGCUAUUAUUGUAUGAGAACUCAGCAUAAGGCAAGAACUUCUCCCAAUCUGUGCCAUACUUCAGAACACUAGCACGGAGCAUGACCUCCAGAAUCUGAUUCACCCUCUCUGUCUGCCCGUCAGUCUGCGGGUGAUACACUGUGCUAUAAUCGAGCAUGGUCCUAAUGGACUCAUGAAGUGAUUGCCAGAAUCGGGACAUGAAUAUGGCUCCUCGAUCAGAUAUGAUGUUUGUCGGGGCACCAUGAAGUCUGAGGAUGUGCUUCACAUAGAGAUCAGCUAGCUGCUCAGCGCGAAUCUUUGACCCACAAGGUACAAAAUGUGCUACCUUGGUUAGGCGAUCAACUACCACCCAUAUAGAGUAAUGGCCUCCUUGGGAUCGUGGAAGUCCCACUAUGAAAUCCAUGGAUAUGCUUCCCCACUUCCAUUCAAGAACAUCCAGUGGUUUGAGCAAUCCUGCGGGUCUUUGGUGCUCCGCUUUGACUCUAUUGCAGAUGUCACAUUCAGCCACGUGUCUUGCAAUAUCUGCCUUCAUAUUCUUCCACCAAAAAUGCUUCUUCAAGUCCUGGUACAUCUUUGAGCCUCCAGGGUGAAGGCAAUACUUAGAAUCGUGAGCUUCUGAUAAUAUCUCCUUUCGCAGGGCAGAGUUGUCAGGUACACAAAUUCUGUCUUUAAACCAGAUGACUCCUUUCUCAUCUUCUCUGAACUCAAGGCUAUAGCCUAGCUUCAUCAGCCCACGGAUAUACUCUAUCUUCUCACAAUCCUUCUGGGCUUCAUGGAUUCGAUCAGUGAGAUCGUACUCAACUCGGAGCUCAUGCAACAAGCCAUGUGGUAGUAUCUCAAGCUGGGAAUCAUAGAUUUCUCGCCUCAACUCUGGUGGCAUAGACUCAGUGAUUAGAGUGUGGCAAUAGCUUUUGCGGCUGAGAGCAUCGGCGACCACAUUAGCUUUUCCUGGAUGAUAGUGUAUCUCUAGGUCAUAAUCUUUGAUUAGCUCUAGCCAUCGGCGCUGCCUCAUGUUUAAGUCUUCCUGAGUGAAGAAGUACUUCAUGCUCUUGUGAUCGGUAUAGAUAUCACAUUUGUUGCCAAUGAGGUAGUGCCUCCAGAUCUUGAGAGCGUGUACAACAGCAGCUAACUCGAGAUCAUGAGUAGGAUAUUGAUGUUCAUGCUCCUUCAGCUGUCGGGAAGCAUAAGCAAUGACUCUCCCAUUCUACAUCAAUACACAUCCAAGUCCUUGGCGAGAGGCAUCACAAUAGAUGACAAAAUCCUUAGUGAUAUCCGGCAAUGCUAGGACAGGCGUGGUAGUGAGCUUCUCCUUCAAGGUUUGCAAACUGUUCUCGCACUCAGGCGUCCAUUCAAAAUCUUUCACCUUCUUUCUGAGAUUGGUCAUCGGGCGAGCGAUCUUGGAGAAAUUCUCAAUGAAUCGGCGAUAAUAUCCCACCAAUCCCAGAAAACUCCUGACUUUAGUCACAUUGCGAGGCUGGUCCCAUUCUUUGACAGCUUCAAUCUUUGCGGGGUCCACUGCAACACCAUCCGCAAAGAGUACAUGACCAAGGAAGGCAACCUCAUUGAGCCAGAACUCACAUUUGCUGAACUUGGCAUAUAGUGAUUUUUCGGCUAGCCUUUCCAGAACUAAUCUCAGAUGUUGUUCGUGUUCCUCAGCAGUGGCGGAGUAAAUCAGAAUAUCAUCGAUGAAUACCACCACGAACUGGUCUAGCACAUCAUUAAACACCUUGUUCAUCAUAUUCAUGAAAUAAGCAGGAGCAUUAGUGAGACCGAAGGAUACAACAGUGUACUCAAACUGCCCAUAGCGGGUGACAAAUGCUGUCUUUGGAAUAUCUUCCUCCCGAAUCCUCAUCUGAUGAUAGCCAGAUCAGAGAUUGAUCUUGGAGAAGUACUUAGCACCUCGUAGCUGAUCCAGUAGAUCAUCAAUCCUCGGCAGGGGGUACUUAUUCUUGAUGGUAACAGAGUUCAAGUUGCCAAAGUCAAUGCACAUUCUCAUUGAGCCAUCUUUCUUCUUGACAAAUAAGACAGGGGAUCCCCAUGGUGAGGCACUCGGCCUAAUGAAUCCCUUCUCUAGCAGCUCAUCAAUUUGCUUCUUCAGCUCUGCUAGCUCAUCAACUAACAUGCGGUACGGUCGCUUUGCAAUGGGACCCGUACCCGGCAUAAGGUCAAUCAUGAACUCCACAUCACGGUCAGGCGGCAUACCAGGUAGCUCCUUUGGAAAUACCUUAGCAUAGUCUCUAACCACCGGUACAUCAUCAAUAGUUUUCUCCUUGGGCUGGGAUUCUUCCUGAGCCUUGAGGGCGCACAGGAGUGUGACAGACUUUUCUUGACUGGGUCUACACUCGGCUUUUUGUGGGUUUGUAGGGUGGUGCACUUGGACACGUCUGGGGGAACAUGAUAUCACUCCUCUGUGUUUGGUUAGCCAAUCCAUGCCUAGGAUAACAUCUAAGCCAUUGGAGGGUAGCCGGGUAAGAUCAGCUUCAAAGGUUACUCCCUCAAUGCUAAGUUUCACUCCCUUACAUAUGUGGGUGCUUCUCAUCUCUCCUAGGGGUGAUGUGGUAAUUAUGGGUUCUAGACUAGGGGUAAAAGGUAUGUUAUGCUCUCGUGCAAAUUUGGAUGAUAUGUAUGAACAUGUAGCUCCAGUAUCAAAAAGAACAGAUGUUGUAAUGCCUUUAAACAGGAACAUACCGUACACGACAUCCGGUGCAGCAUGGGCCUCCUCAGCUGUGAUGUGGUUGAGGCGACCACGAGAAGCAGACCCUCUGUAUGUAGUCUUCUGUGCAGCAGGGGUAGUGGCCUUCAGAGGACACUGAGCAACGUUGUGACCAGGCUGGCCACAGUUGAAGCAGGUGAAAGGCGCGCCGCCUGCUGAGGCUGGUGCGGGGGCCUUCCAGUUGCUCGUACUUGGUGCAGCACGGGCAGGAGUAGAGUCAUCAGUCUUGCGGCAAGGCUGCUCUGAGCAGUCACGAGAGUAGCGGUUCCUGGAGUGAUCUCUGGAGUAGCGGUCACGCGAACGGUCACGGGGGUGACAGUCACAUGAACGGUCGCGGGAGUAGCAAUCACGUGAAGGUCGGGAGUAAUCUGAAGAGUGGGUCUUGCCUCUCCUCCCAAAUCCGGAGGCAUCAUCCCUGGAGUAGCGGGGGUGUCCAGAUGACGACCCAUCAUGGUGGAACCUCUUCUGAUCUCUGCCACGGUGAGAGAACUUAAAUCUGCGCUUCUCCCUUCUGCUUUCCUCAUUAUCUUCAAUCUGAUCCUUCUCGAUCUGUAUGCUGCGGUCGAUCAGAUCAUGGAGGGUGCGGCUCUUGGCUCCUCCCAAUGCAACCUUGAUCUUGGGGUUCAGUCCUUUUCUAUAAUGAUGGGUCUUCUCUCUCUCGGAGGCCACCACAGCAGGGGGUGCGUAGCGAAGGAGGGUGGUGAAGCGAGUAGUGUACUCGUGUACAGUGUCACCCUUCUGCCGGAGGUUGCGGAACUCAUCCUCCUUGCUGUCCAGGACUCCCUCUGGAAUGUGAUACUCGGUGAAGGCCUCAACAAACUCAUCCCAAGUGAUAUGCUCGGGGUCCUCAUGUGCAUCUGAGUAGCUGUCCCAUCAAGAGCGAGCUGCUCCAGUGAGCUGGUGGGCUGCAAUCCCGACGCACUCCUCGUCGGUGCAAGUGGUGAGGUCCAGCUUCUUCUCGAUCUCUCUCAGCCAGUCAUGUGCUGCCAGGGGCUCCAGGUCGGUGCCGUCGAAGGUGGGCGGCCUGAGCUUCAGAAAUCCCUCCAGCUUGCGCUGGAAAUCAUCAGGUCGUAAACCACCACCAUUGCGGCGGUUCAUGCUGUCGACCAGGGCGGCCAUCAGCUGCGUCUGCUGAGCCAUCACCUCAGCCAGAUUAGGUGGAGGCGGCGGUGGAGGGUCGUUGCGGUCGUUGUUGUCGUUGCCACCGUGUGCGCCAUCAGGAGCCUCUUUCCCGUCAUUUUGAGCAACCUCAGCUGGGGACGUCUGCUCGAGGCCACCUCCCUCAUUGCGGCCACGGCGGUUGUCAUCUCGACUACCGCGACCACCACCGCGCUGACGAGCGCGGCGGUUGUCAACACGCCCAAGACUAGGCGCAGGGGUCGGGGAGAGGCGCUGCAGGCGGUGAGAACGGCGCAUCGACAUCUGUGACAUGGCAAACAUGGGGUUUAAUGGGUGAGGCAUAGGUCAUAAAACUUAUAACUGAGUUAAUUGCUUAAGAUUCAAUAAUUAAUAAAUGAUUUCAACGAAUUAAAUAAGUUAAUUAAUCUAUCCUACACUCAUAUAAAUAAGAAGCAAUAAAAUCUAAUAAAAUUUCGGUAAGACCCAAGCACUCAUUACAUUGGUUUUAUUACAGGGCAACUUCUCCAGUAGCUACACUAGGAGAAUCGCGAGAAACGUGCUAUGCGUAGGUAUGUAGUAAUGGUAGGCUUGCUAUUUUCCAUUUUGUCCACUGUGGUGCUCGUGAUCGGGACAUGUUCUUGAAAUUACUCCAGGGCCCAAGAACAUGAUCAGCAGGUCAGUGGAAGGGGUAAGCCUUGCACAAAAAUUGCGCAUGGUCGGUAAUAUAACCGAAGAGAGAGUUGGCUUGCCCUAUUCUAUCGUCCAUUCCUAGGGGCUUCGUCCUCGGGUCAAGUACGGCUCUCAUACCAACUGAAACGACCUGAUUUUCCACGAAGGGGAAAAUCCACAUAGUCGAAGUGUAAAAUGACCAUUUAAAUCAAAUUACCCAAUUCCAGUUGAUAAUCAUCAUCCAUACAUCGUACAAAAGCAUUAAUAAUAGAGAGUAUUACAUUAUAACAUUGCCACAUGGCAGAAACAAAAUCUAAAUUAUCAACCGGAACAGCUCGAUAGAUGCGGAAGGUAGAAUCUCCAUCGACUUGAGCAAAGGCACGAAUCCCCUAGUCGCUAUAUCCCUCGGAAUCAUAAGAACCUGUAUGCCAAAGUAUCAGUACGAUUUGUACUGGCCACUCCCACUCUAUGCGCUUGCUUUGUGGAAUUGGAUGCAAAUAAGGUAAAUUGAAGAGGCCUAAAUGGGGCUCUAGUUUUCCUAUGCAAUAGUAAUCAAGUUUCAAUUAUAGUAAUAGUCAAGUUUUAACACAACCCAAACCCAUACCAUCCAUCACCCUCCAUUCCAUACCAUCCCAUAUCCAUCUCCAUCACCAACACCAACAUAACCCACACUCAAGUCGACAAGCCAACUCCCACUCGGCGUGUCUCAGCGGCCCACAGCCCUCAACCUAUGGCUCGUGGCCGGAAGUAUCUCUCGGGGAACGUAGAACACUCCUCUCUCUAGUCUAGUGAAAACAGAACACAGGAAGGCUCCAUAGCCGAAAGGACGGCAUAUGUAUCGAUCGAUCAACCAUACACUCUGCAGAGGUUUUACUAUUCCACAAGAUAGCCGUCAUCGAUGCUUGCAAUCAUCUAGGCAGAUUCCGGGCGCCUACCGGCCUAGGACAAUGUCACUCUACCUCCCAACCCUGGAACACCCCACCUGGAGUGGCUGAAACUAUGAAGUCAUGUCCCCUGUCCCGAAUAGGGAGCCAUGAUCGUCUUGGGAGGGUGUGAGACCAACCUGCCCGUACCUCCCUAACACAUCCUCGCCUAGUAGUAGUGGCAUCACCCUACCCGGUGGUUCGGCCGUCUCCCCCCCAUGGAAAGCGAGUGGAAAGUAAGGAUUCCUAUGAUCUCGUUACUAGAACUGUCAGUCCUUAAGUUUGACCAAACUGGAAUAUCUUCAUCAGGGUUUCCAUUUAACGUGCCACCACAGCACCUCCACCCGAAGCUCCUCCCGCCGGAGACUUAUACCGGGUUCACCUCACACACAUCCCCACCGCAUAAUUACCCGCCAUAGGUAUAUCCAACAGGAAUGUCUAGUUCAUUCCACGGCAUGACUCGCCCCACCGGCUCGUCGUAGAUCCCAGUCUGGUCGACUCAACCCUCACCCUUCACACACCCAAGACACACGCCAAGACACCACAUAUCCUCACCAUAAUCCCCAGAUCCAGCAUGAUCACCAGGUCCGGCUUCCCAAGCCAAACCAUCCCCUUAGGUUCACCAUCGGCGUCACAUCAUCGAUAUAAGCCGAAGAAUAUAAAUAUAGUAGAAAUAUAAUAAAAGCGCGUUUCUAAUCUAUCAGCGGGUGAGCAGGGUGAUAGGUAAUACAAGGUAGGGUACAAGAAUAGUAAAUCUACUAUGCAUCCCUAUAACAGCAGUUAUAUCAAUAGAAAUAUAAAGCACUAGCAAUUCUAAUAUUUGCAAUGCGUAAUGGGAUCUACGAAAGUGGGUGGGAUGUGGCACCUUUGCAGUAGUCGUCGCCUAACUCCUCCCGAUAUUCCCGAUCCUCGUCAGUCCGAUCGUCCUCCGACUCUGCACGUAUAUUAUUGGUCGCGGAAGCGACCCCUAUAGAUAAGCACAAAGAACAAAUAACAGCGAAAAGAUCCAAAUGCACACAAGAAAUAUAUCAUUAAGUAGAAAUUUAUUUUAUAUAAAUUUUGAUAUUUAUUGUGUGAUUUUUGGUGUUCGUAUAAACGAGAUAUGAUUUUUCUGCGAUUUUUAGCAAUUAUUUAAUGUAUUAAAUAGAACCCUGAAAAUUAAUUGUUGUGAAGGCAGUGUGUCAUAGCACUAAGGUGUAGGUAUCAUGGAGAUGAAUUCAACGCAAUUUGAAUCACUUAAUUUGGAGUUAAUUUGAUUAAGUUAUAAAUUGUCAAAGUUUAAUUCUAUUAAAAAAAAAGAAAAAACCAUUCCAUCCCUUCUCUGAUGCGCGUGGGCCGAAAUCCGGCCGAGGCUAGCGCCCAAGUGGGCCAGAAGCAGGGCAGGGCAAGGCCCGCUCGCUCAUGUGCGAGCUGCAGCGCAGAAACGUCGGCGGCGGGACGCGACACGGCGCGCACUCGGUGCGCGUGCGUCCGGCGCGAGGCGACGGCGUGCGCGGGCCCAGCGCGGCUGCGGCGUAGCGGGGCAGAGGGUGCACGACGGGCGGCGAGGAGGGAAGAGUGGGCGGUGGUUCACCUUGCGAAGGCGAUGCGCGUCGAGGCGAACGUUGCGGCUCCGAGCAGAGGGCGAUGGCGGUGCGGCACGGACGUUGGUAGGCGCGGCGGUCCGGUGCGGUGCGGAGCGGCGGCGUCGUGGCGGAGCGGAGCUCGGGCAGGGCACGACGACGGCACUGAUUUGCGGUGCGGAGCGGUGGAGUGGCGCAGUUGGGGGGUGCGAGGCUGGGGAUCGAGGACGUCUUAAGGGCAAGUAGUGGAGGGCACUGCGGUGGUGCGUGGUGCGCGGGCGUGUCGCGCGGACGGCUCGGUCCGCGGCGGCCGAGUCGUGUGGUUGCGCGUGCGUCGUGGAGUGCGGAGUCCGUGGGUGAGCGCGAUGCGCGGCGAGCGACAUGCGCGGGAACGGCGCGAGCGCGGACGGCUGGGUCUCGCGGCAUGCGGCGGUUGCGCGGCGUCGUGGCGAAUGCGGAGUCCGUGGGUGAGCGCGAUGCGCGGCGUGAUGCAGACGAGCGGCUGCGCGCGCGCGGAGCGGUGGCCAAGGCGGAGUCACGGGCAGGUGCGCGUGCGAGUCGCGCGGGGUGCGCGGCCGUGUCGCGAUGCGCGCUGUGCGGGCGUGCCGCGUCGCGCCGGCGGCCGGGUCGCGCGGCGCAGAGCGGAGCGAGCGCGCGGGGCGUCCGGGUCGCGCGGCGCAGAGCGGAGCGAGGGCGCGGGGCACGGGGCCGCGUGGCGAGUUGCGCGCGGGUGCAGGCAUACUUGGUCGGGCGCGGUUGAAGCAGGGGAGAUGGGAGAGGAUAGAGCUGACGCGUGGGGGCCACAGGGCAGAGAGAAGGUGGGAGAGGGAGUGCAGGCCCGAGUUCUCCUCCUUCUUUUAUUUAAUUAAUUUUAGGUAUGUAAUUAGGAAUCAUUUCAGAUUUAAUAUUUAUUUGUUAGUUGUCAAUUAUUCAUUUGUAAUUACUAUUCCUAUUUAUGUUUUCCACCUUUUUGCCUAAUUAGGUUUUAAUUAGGUUGGUAUUAGUUUAAUAUAGUAAUGUAAUGGAGUAAAUAAUUAUUUAUCACUUAAUUAAUUAUUUAGAAAGUUGAACAGCAAUACAAAGUCCAAUAAAAUCCCAAAUCACCAGAGAAUUGCAAUGCAAUAAAUUAAAAGUGCAUGCACUGAUAAAACCUAGGGUUAACAAUAUAGCAAAAAUGAAUGCAUUGUGGUGAGGUUUUCUACAUGCCACUCAUCAAUCAUGGGGUAUUUUAGAAAAGUUUUGUAGCUGGAAUUUUUGUGUCUUGUAAGUUUUAGGGUUAUUACAGAGGCGCCGCCGGAAGUACCGACUACGCCAACCAACGAAUCCCAGGACAACUAGAAAACAGAGAGUCCCGUUCGGAGGACUUAAAAACACCGAACGCCUUGCCAAGAGGUAAACUUGGUAGUUAUCCUUUCCCUUUCAAUUAUUUCAAACAGUUUGCCUAGUUAAUCAUGUUUAUACUAUCCUAAAAACAAAUUAAAAAUGUUAAAAACAGUAAGCCCCAUGUGAGUAUAUGAGUGGCAUGAAACCCAUAAGUACAUUCACUAUGGUGGCAUAAAAAUAAAAUAAAUAUUUCUUUUCUGCUUUAUAAAAUGAAAAUAUAAAAAUAGGGAGUAAUAAUUAAUAAGGAGUCUCAACAUGAUAAAGGCU